rnacentral:rRNA from 1 species
UAAUGGCCGCAGGGCCGGAGGCUGGCCCCCACGAUAGGGCCAAACGUCCGUCAGGGGUGAGCAGAUGUGCGCCGGCCGUACCGCCCCAUUCUUGUCUACCUUACUCGGUUGCCUCGGCGGGCCGCGCUCUUCCAGGAGAGCCGUUCGGCGAGCCUCUCUUUAGUGGCUAAACGCUGGACCGCGCCCGCCGGAGGACAGACGCAAAAAAAUUCUUUCAGAAGAGCUGUCAGUCUGAGCGUUAGCAAGCAAAAAUCAGUUAAAACUUUCAACAACGGAUCUCUUGGUUCCGGCAUCGAUGAAGAACGCAGCGAAAUGCGAUAAGUAAUGUGAAUUGCAGAAUUCCGUGAAUCAUCGAAUCUUUGAACGCACAUUGCGCCCCCUGGCAUUCCGGGGGGCAUGCCUGUUCGAGCGUCAUUUCAGCCCCUCAAGCCCGGCUUGUGUGAUGGACGACCGUCCGGCGCCCCCGUUUUUGGGGGUGCGGGACGCGCCCGAAAAGCAGUGGCCAGGCCGCGAUUCCGGCUUCCUAGGCGAAUGGGCAACAAACCAGCGCCUCCAGGACCGGCCGCCCUGGCCUCAAAAUCUGUUUUAUACUUAUCAGGUGACCUCGGAUCAGGUAGGAAUCCCCAAUGU